GAGGAAAAAGGUGGUUGUGUGAGAGAGGGUUUGCAGAGAGUGGUUUCCUCCAGCAGACUGGUGAGAAGCUGCCAGACAAACAAAUACUCCAAAAAGGGAGAAACAGGAUAGGAGGCAAGGGAAGACUACAGAGACUUUAUAUAAAAUCUUUUGAGGUCUAAUCCACAGUGCGAGGAAGUCCAAAGAGAGUUGUUCCAUUGACUUCAGUAGUUUUUUGAAUCAAGCACUAAAAGAAGACAUUUUAAGGCCUACUGAAGGAGAGACAGACAAAACACCAGAGAGGAGAAAAACCACAUCGGGCUUAGAAAGUUGGACUCAAACAGGCCUACUGAUUUAGAGCCUGAUCCUGCACCACUGGGGGAAGUUGGACAGUGUUAUUCUCUAAACACAGCCCAUCCAUCAUUCUAAGGCCCUGGUGGCUACUGUAUGUAGUUAUUAAAAUAUGAUUAAUCAUAAAGGCAGGACACUUGAUUCUGAAGGCAGCUGAAUGUUCCUGCUGUUCUUCUGGCCAUAAAACUUCAGUAACUUUGUGAAAAAUGUGACUCUCUUUCCCCUCCUGGACCGUGUUAUAAUAAAUGUAAAGUCCACAAAUGAAAUCAUGGCUCCAGGGUGCUAGGUGCUUUACAGACACAAUUGCUACUCUGAAGAGCAUACCAUCAAGGCUGCCAACUGUCUGAUCACACAAACCCAAACACCCUUGCCAUGUUCCCUACCCUGCCCCUUCCCCACCCCUUCUCUGAGGCCCCGCUCCUCUCAC